rnacentral:lncRNA from 1 species
UUCAGGUACUUCACCACAGGGCCUUGCAGCAGGCCUGAACUAUGCAGAAGGAGAUGUAAUCCACCUCCCCUCUGUGGAGUGAAGCUGCGUGGGAAGGAUCUGCAGAUCCUUUGAACCUCUGGUUCCAAGUGUAAAGAGAAGUCUGCCAAAAGAAGAGAUGGGUGUAGACCUUCCUGGCACCUAAAUUUGUCCUUGUUUUUGACAGUGACUACUCAGUUAAGCGAACAGUUGUUGUGAGUACACCAGGAAAAGGAGCUCCCUUUCAAAGCUAAGCUCCUUGUCUGGAAAUUCAGCUUUCAUUUGUACCCUUAAGCCAUGCAUACAAAACUCAUACGUAGGUAGGAGAAACUAUUUCCAAGACUGAACUCUGUCUCUAUUUUCCACAUGAAAGAAGGAAGAGCGAGAGAAAGAUGAUGAGGUCCAGAGCUAUGAAUAUGAGUGACUGAGUGAUUUUAAAAGGGAAGAGGCUGAGCUGCUGUUGAAUGUCUGUGAGAAGUACCAGUGGCAAUUAACCUCCUGAAAACUGCUGCUGUGUGAUACCUUCCACAGUCUCUAAACUAAAUAAGUUUAUAACUGUCUCUGACAUUCUAACAGUCAGAGCCUGUGUCAGAAAAAUGAAUAAAUUAUGUGCUCCUUCAUAAAGUUGCA